UACAUGGGGUGCAAACGUUGCUCGGAAUUAUUGGGCGUAAAGCGCGCGUAGGCGGUUACUUAAGUCGGAUGUGAAAGCCCUCGGCUUAACUGAGGAAGUGCACCCGAAACUGAGUAGCUGGAGUACGAAAGAGGGUCGCGGAAUUCCCGGUGUAGAGGUGAAAUUCGUAGAUAUCGGGAGGAACACCGGUGGCGAAGGCGGCGACCUGGGUCGAGACUGACGCUGAGGAGCGAAAGCGUGGGGAGCAAACAGG
rnacentral:rRNA from 1 species